AAACUGUGAAAAAUCAAUACGAUCUGCUUAAGAGACAGUGGCCAGGACGUCAUAGCUGUUGAAACGGGAAACAGACUGGACUUUGUAUGGGAGAGGCUGGGUUGUUCACUAAACUGUUCCUCUUUCCCUCCUGGACACAAAACCAGACUACAUUUCCCGGCUUCCUUUGUAGCUAGUGUCUGAAUCUGGCCAGUGGAAGGUGGUGGAGACGAUGAACUCUACCCCCAGGCCCAGACAGUUAAACCUCCUACCCCAUCCUCUGUUCUUUCCUCAUCUGCUGGGUAGCAUCUAGCUGAGGACCCUGAAGCCCGGGAUGAUAGCAGAGACACGUGGGCCCCUCAGUCACCGCUUGGAGGACAGUCACCAGGAGACACCCAGGUGAGUCUGCUUAGGGAAUUGUGGGCACACUUUUAUGGUGUCAAGUCACAGAGACUUGGGGAUUGUUUGGUAUAGCCGUUGAUCUCCCUACUGUUACCUCAUGUCACAGAGGCCCUUGGGUGUGGCUAAGUGGGACUAAGUCAGGAAGGCCUGGGCUGAAAUAUCCACCCUAGCACGUUUCAGUGGGAUCACCUUGAGCAAACUGCUAUACCUCUCUAGACCUUAAUUUUUCAUCUUUAAAUGGGGAUUCAUAACCUCAAAAGAUAUAUUAAUGACAAACUCCUUCACUAAACCAGGUGAGGUGUCUUACCGAGUCCCAGCAGGUGGCCCCGUUGGCCCAGAAGUUUACAAGAGGCUUUCAGGACGUGGGAAGUCACCACGUGGCAUGUUGAGGGUUCCCCAGGGCUUGUGGCUGUUGUCCAAGGCCAUUGGAAAGGAGUGCAAAGGCCAGGGUGUAUGUUCCAUAGAAGGGCUCUGGCUGGAACAUACCGGGACAUACACCGCCUGUCUCCAUAGGCAGAGGCCUGAGGUGCUGCUGCUGUAAUUGCAUCAAAACCCAUCGGUUCAAGCAACAAAAUGCCUGGCAUGUUGUCUGCCAAGAGUGCAGUGACUUACCCCCUGGGAUUUUCUCUGGUCCGGGAAGUACAAGCCCUGCUAUUCCUUAGAGAGGAUGGUUUUUAGAAACAAGGUGCUCCCAUUUCUAGACCCUUGAAAACUAGGGAUAGAACAGAGAGGCUGGUUGAAACCAAAUGCCGUGGUUGCCGGGAACGGCCGAGGAGACCCCUGCAGUUUGUGCUGGCCCCUCAGCGAGUGUCCAACAAAGGGAGGCCUCCCAGGGCCCAAGGUGCCACGCUGCUGGGAGCAGGUGCUCAUUGCUGCCCUGGAGAGCAGGGGCGACUUGGUGAUGCCCACGCACUGAGCUGCGCCUGCGUCCCCAGCUCUCAGCGAGUGUCCCCAGGUCCCGAGAUUAAGGACUGGGCCACAAGCAGCUUACGGAGACGGCGAUCCUGGACGCACUCACGCAGGGGUGGGGGCAGACAGGCGGGAGCUGGCAGCUGUCACAAGGCGCGACCACGAAUGAGCCGCGGCCACUGAGGAUGUUGGACACGGUCGGAACAGGCCC
rnacentral:lncRNA from 1 species